rnacentral:rRNA from 1 species
CAGCAGCCGCGGUAAUACGUAGGGUGCAAGCGUUAAUCGGAAUUACUGGGAGUAAAGCGUGCGCAGGCGGCUUUGCAAGACAGAUGUGAAAUCCCCGGGCUUAACCUGGGAACUGCAUUUGUGACUGCAUGGCUAGAGUGCGGCAGAGGGGGAUGGAAUUCCGCGUGUAGCAGUGAAAUGCGUAGAUAUGCGGAGGAACACCGAUGGCGAAGGCGGCUCUCUGGACUGUAACUGACGCUGAGGAGCGAAAGCGUGGGGAGCGAACAGGAUUAGAUACCCCUGUAGUCCCUGUCUCUUAUAC